CAGGUGGGACCAUCCAGUUUCAGGAAAACAAGCUUAACACGCCCACUGAUUCUACAUUAUGCUCCUACCUCCCGGCAGCCUCGCCAGGCCCAGAACUCUCUCCAGUCAGCCUCUACAGACCAAGCUCAUGACUCACAAUGGCCUAUUGAGGCCCAUACCCUACCUCACGGCAGUCUCCGCAGAUGAGCCUACUGCCUCACAACAGCCUCCACAGGCACAGCUCCAUCGUUACAAUGGCCUCUUUAGACCCAGCUCCUGCCUCCCAGCCUUCUCUCCAGGCCCUGAACUUUCUCCGUGGGACCAUCCAGUUUCAGGAAAACAAGCUUAACACGCCCACUGAUUCUACAUUAUGCUCCUACCUCCCGGCAGCCUCGCCAGGCCCAGAACUCUCUCCAGUCAGCCUCUACAGACCAAGCUCAUGACUCACAAUGGCCUAUUGAGGCCCAUACCCUACCUCACGGCAGUCUCCGCAGAUGAGCCUACUGCCUCACAACAGCCUCCACAGGCACAGCUCCAUCGUUACAAUGGCCUCUUUAGACCCAGCUCCUGCCUCCCAGCCUUCUCUCCAGGCCCUGAACUUUCUCCGGUCUCCCUCUGUUGUCGAAGGCUGGAGGGUUGUAGUGCUAUCGCAGCUGACUGCAGCCUCAACCUUCCAGGCUGAAGCGAUCCUCCCAUCUCAACAUCCCACGUGGCUGAGACUACAGCUGCUUGCCACUAUGCCCAACUAAUAUUUGGUAUUUUCGUAUAUGUGGAUUCCAGAGGGGUGACAGCAAAACGUGAGUAAGCAUGGAUUUUUGUAUAUGCAGAGAUGGGGGGCUGUAACUAAUUCUGUAUACUGAGGGACGGCAACUGUUUAUGUUUUUACAAUUACGCUGUAGGAUACAUACUGUUGCAUAUCCUUGAAAAUAAUA